UACGUAGGGUGCGAGCGUUGUCCGGAAUUACUGGGCGUAAAGCGUGCGCAGGCGGUUGUGCAAGACAGAUGUGAAAUCCCCGGGCUCAACCUGGGAACUGCAUUUGUGACUGCACGGCUGGAGUGCGGCAGAGGGGGAUGGAAUUCCGCGUGUAGCAGUGAAAUGCGUAGGUAUGCGGAGGAACACCGAUGGCGAAGGCAAUCCCCUGGGCCUGCACUGACGCUCAUGCACGAAAGCGUGGGGAGCAAACAGG
rnacentral:rRNA from 1 species